AUUGAACGCUGGCGGCAGGCCUAACACAUGCAAGUCGAACGAGUGGCGGACGGGUGAGUAAUGUCUGGGAAACUGCCUGAUGGCGGGGGAUAACUACUGGAAACGGUAGCUAAUACCGCAUACCAUCAGAUGUGCCCAGAUUGGCUUAGCUAUGUGGUGGGGUAACGGCGCACAAAGGCGACGAUCCCUAGCUGGUCUGAGAGGAUGACCAGCCACACUGGAACUGAGACACGGUCCAGACUCCUACGGUGGGAAGCAGUGUGGAAUAUUGCACAAUUGGCGCAAGCCUUGUGAAGCCAUGCCGCGUGUAUGAAGAAGGCCUUCGGGUUGUAAAGUUCUUUCAGCGGGGAGGCGUUACCCGCAGAAUAAGCACCGGCUAACUCCGUGCCAGCAGCCGCGGUAAUUC
rnacentral:rRNA from 1 species